GACGAACACUGGUUGCCCGCUUAAUUCAUGUCAGUCAAAAGGGGUUUCUCCCUUCUGGGAGGGAUUAAUUGGCGAAUCGGUGCGUAACUACUGAUGAAUCUGUCCAUGCAUGGGGGAUAACCCGUGGAAACGCGCUCUAAUACCGCGUAUGUUCUCUCUCCUGCAUGGUUGACAGAGGAAAGCUCCUGACUUGGUGCCUGCGUGGACGGGCUCGCGGUUGAUCAUGGAGAUGGCCGGAUAACUGCUCACCAUGCCUACUAGACCUAACCGAUCUGAGAGGAUGAUCUGGCACGUUGUGACUGACAUACUGCCCACACUCCUACAGGAGGCACCUGUGGGGAAUCUUGCUCAAUGCGCGAAAGCCUGCACCCAUCACUCCGCGUGCUGGAUGAAUCUCUACCGGGUGUAGACCGCUGUCGGGGGGGACAAUCGGCCGUGUGAUGAAAUGCCUGCGUUUUGACCGUACCUCUCGAUGAAGUAUCAGCUAUGUCUGUGCCAUCACCCGCGGUAAUACAUUAUGGUGCGAGCGUGUGUCCUAAUUACUGGGCAUACAGCGCGCGCAGGCGACCCUUUAAUAUCUGCGUGUAGAAGGACGGGGCUCAAUCCUCGAUUUGCCCCGGAUACUGGCGGGUCUGGAGACAGGAUAAGGCAAGCGAAUUUCCGGGGGUACCGGUGGAAUGCUUAAAAAUCCGAAAAAUCACCAGAGGCAAAGGCGGUUUGUUGGGCCUGGUGUGACGCUGAGGCGCGAAAGCGUGGGGAGCGAACAGGAUUAAAUCCCCUGGUAGUACACGCAGUAAACAAUGGGCACUAUACGCUGGUGGGAUCGACCCCUUCGGUGUCGCAGCUAACGCGAUAAGUGCCCCCCCUGGGGAGUACCGCCGCAAGGCUGAAACUCAAAGGAAUAGACGGGGGCCCGCACAAGCGGUGGAGCAUGUGGUAUAAUUAGAAGCAACGCAAAAAACCUUACCUGGGCAAGACAUGCAUGUGAAAUCGUCGUGAAAACAGGGACCCUCUUGGGAGCACAUGCACAGGUGCUGCAUGGCAGUAUUCAGCUCGUGUCGUGAGAUGUUGGGUUAAGUCCCGCAACGAGCGCCAUUUUUAUCCUCUGUUACCAACUAGUAAAGUCAGUCAUUCUGAAGAGACUGCCAGUGACUAACCGAAGGAAGGUGGGAACUACAUCCAUUCAUCAUGGUCCUUACGCCCAUAGCUACACACUUGCUAGAAUGGCCGGGACAAACCCUUGCAAUACCUCUAGGUGGAGCGAAUCAAAAAAACUCGGUCCAAGUUCUGAUUGCAGUCUGUAACUCGACUGCAUGAAGACUGACUCGCUAUUAAUCAUGAGUCUGCUACACCGCAGAUGAUACGGGCCCGUGCCU
rnacentral:rRNA from 1 species